GUCGAGCGGACGGAUGGGAGCUUGGUCCCUGAAAUCAUCGGCGGACAGGUGAGUAACACAUGGGCAACCUGUCUGUAAAACUGGGAUAACUUCCGGAAACCGGAGCUAAUACCGGAUAACACCUAUUACCUCACGGGCUUUGAUUGAAAAAUGGGUUUUGCUAUCUCUUUCAGAUGGGCCCCCGCCGCACUAUCUAUUUGGUGAGGUAACGGCUCUCCAAGGCGACAAUGCGUAGCCCACCUGAGAGGGGGAUCGGCCACACUGGGACUGAGACACGGCCCACACUCUUACGGGGGGGGGCAGUAGGGAAUCUUCCCCAAUGUACAAAAAUCUGACAGAGCAACGCCCCGCGAGCGAUAAAAGCGUUCUGGUCUCAAAAAUCUGUUUUUAGGGAAAAAAACAUACCCUUCAAAAAGGGCGGUACCUUUACGGUACCCAACCACAAAGCCCCGGCUAACUACGUGCCCCCACCCCCGGUAAUACCUAGGUGGGAAACGUUUUCCCGAAUUUUUGGGCGUAAAGCGCGCGCAGGCGGUUCCUUUAAUCUGAUGUGAAAGCCCCCGGCUCAACCCUGGAGGGUCAUUGGGAACUGGGGAACUUUAGUGCGGAAAAGGAAAGCGGAAUUCCACAUGUAUCGGUGAAAUGCGUAUAGAUAUGGAGGAACAC
rnacentral:rRNA from 1 species